CUACAACAUACACAAUGCGUAUAUCCAUCCAACUAUUAGGAGCUAAUAGCCCAAUAAAUCUCAAUGUACACCUCUGGAAUCCUAUCAGGGAUGUUAAGGCCAAAUAUGAGCUCAAGGCAGAUAUUCAGGGCAAGCACUCGCCACAGACCGAACUACCAACGGAUGUUCUAUCAAGGCAGACAACUUGAGGAUCCCUGGCUGCUUUCGGACCGUAAUAUCCAGCACGGUUUUACAUUGCAUGCUCGCCUAGAGUAUAGCAGAGAUUCGCAUUUCAAGGUUGAGCUCAUGCUGGGAAAAAACACUAGCAGAUAGUACUGUUAAUGUGAUCCCCUGCUUCAAACAAUCGACUACUGAACGACCUCGAAUCAUCAGGGAACCGACCCUAAGGAAUCAUUUUCUUUUACCUAUAUUGUUAAACAAAAAAGAAUUGACAUGCCCUGAGAAGGAGGGGUCGGCCAUCAACAAUAAAAAAUCCAUCCCGAUUCAUUGUAGUACCGGUCCCAGCCUCAGCUAGCUCUAGUCACUCGUCGGCCGAAGAGAGCAAGACUGAAUACUUGACGGUAUUGUAUACCGGUAUUUAU
rnacentral:sRNA from 1 species